rnacentral:rRNA from 1 species
UUGAAAGAACUUUGAAGAGAGAGUUCAAGAGUACGUGAAACNGUUAAGGGUAAACCUGAGAAACCCAAAGAUCGAAUGGGGAGAUUCAUCGUCAGCGGCGUUGGCUUCCGUGUGGAUCGCGAUGAUCGGGACCUCGGUCCCGUGUCACGCGUCCGCUGCGGUAUGUCCGACGUCGUCGGCGUGCACUUCUCCCCUAGUAGGACGUCGCGACCCGUUGGGUGUCGGCCUACGGCCCGGUUGGUCGACUGUCGCGUCGCGUUCACGCGUGCACGCGGCAGACCACCGGUCGCCCGGCCGGCUGCCCGGCGGUAUAGAUCGCUAUGAAACGGUAUUGGGCCGCAUUAAGUGCGUUCUGGCUCGUCGGCAGGCUCGUCUCGCUCGGAUUUACGGACCUAGUGCCGUUGCCGGGCGCUUGGCGUGGCUGUUAGUCGACGAUGUCCUCGGACUGGCUCUUACAUUCGAAUGGAUAUACCGGUCGGCGACGCUACUGCUUUGGGUACUUCCAGGACCCGUCUUGAAACACGGACCAAUGAGUCUAACAAUGUGCGGAGUCAUUGGGACUUAUUAAGCCUAAAGGCGCAAUGAAAGUGAAGGUCGGCCUUAGCGUCGACCGAGGGAGGAUGGCUCGCGUCACGAUGCGAGCCCGCACUCCCGGGGCGUCUCGUGCUCAUUGCGAGCAGAGGCGCACCCAGAGCGUACACGUUGGGACCCGAAAGAUGGUGAACUAUGCCUGGUCAGGACGAAGUCAGGGGAAACCCUGAUGGAGGUCCGUAGCGAUUCUGACGUGCAAAUCGAUCGUCGGAACUGGGUAUAGGGGCGAAAGACUAAUCGAACCAUCUAGUAGCUGGUUCCCUCCGAAG